ensembl:lncRNA
AUAACAAUGACUUAGAUAGAAGUGACCUGUCUCUCAUGUCAUUGUUCGAAGGUAGGCAGUCUAGGGCUGGUAUGGCAGCUCUGCUUUAAGUGGUUGUCCGGGGACCCAGACUUAUUCUAUCUUGUUGCUCUACCAUGCCUCAGUGUGGCCCUCCCUGAUGCUGACUGUCUCCCAUGUCCAUAUUCCGUGCAGCAGGAAGAAGGGAGUGAACAUGCGUCCUCCCUUUAAAGACAUGCCGUGGAAAUGGUCUACCUCCCUUCUUCUCACGUAUCACUGGCCCAAAGUCAUUCAUAUAACCACAUAUAGCUGAAAGGAGGCUGGGGAUGUAGUCUUUAUCAGAGGGAACAAAGAGAGUCAAUGUUGGCGGACAACUUUUGCCUCUACCCCAGACUCCAUAAUCAAUUAGUCCCCACCAAAUCAGGUCAGACCACUUUGAUCAGCACUCUAACUCUGUAGUCUAUCAUAACUCCCAUGAUUAUCUUGCCUUUGGCAGUUGAGUGCCUGAAAUCAGCUUCUUCCAUUCUGGUAUCUUUCCUUUUCCAUUAAAAUCAAGGAUCCCAUUUCAGCUGCAUCCAAUUGCAUCAUUGGUUUAUGGAAAUCAGUCACGAAAUUGCUUUUCAAGAUGCUGGUGCUCUCCUCGCCAAUGCAUUUUGGUCUUCUGGGCCCUCCUGAGGAUAGAAUGAACAGAUGUAUGGGCAGAUCCUACAUGACAAAUCCUCUACAGCACUUCUAUAUCCCUAGGUUUUUGGCUUCUUUCCUCCAUUAUCUCUAUAGAAUUUCAUUUUGCACGAGUCACUGUUGAGUCCAGGUUUCAAACCAAUAACCGACCUGAAAAUUAGGACCACUCACCAUGGCUGGAGCUAGCACACUGACUUGAUUUCUGGUGAACGUACUCCUGAUUAAAUAAUGAUGUAAAAUUAUGCACUAGAGGCAAACACUGAGAUGUGCCACCCAGCCCCCCUCUCGGGAAUGACUUACUCCCUCAGCUGCUGGCAGCAUUGCUGACAGGCACUGGCGCUCGGCUGGUAGCCCACUCAGGGCUGCCUCAGAUGAAGAAAACUGCAUUGCCCAAGGUCACGUCCCCUUCCUGGAGCAGCCACAUCCAGUGGCUGGUCAAAGUUGGGUUAUAAAGGCUUGGACCUUUGGACCCAACUUGAAAAACUCUGAAUGGCCAUCCCAGCUCCCGAGCUCACAGUAGGGCUAGCUGAAACCUUUGCUGGCAGUGUGUGCAGCUCAAAUUUUCCCUCUGUGUAAUUCUGCUUCUGUCCCUUUUAUUCCACAGGCGUGGUCCCAAGAGAACUUUCUAACUAAGGUUCGGCAUGCUAAUCUCCAUCUCAGAGUCUGCUUCUCUGAAAUUCAUUUGAUGAGGAUUUAACUUUGAAUGAACUUCUCUCUCAGAGUUGCGUGAAGAAGUAACAUGGGGUACUGGGCAGUAUAACACGGCAGCUCAAACGCAAGCUUCCAGCAAUCGGCUUACUGCACAUCGGGCACAUGAUCUGAAGAUUAAGAGGUUCGGCAUCAAGACCAGGACCUCUGCCACUGCAGCUGCUUCCUGCAGCUUUACAGCCCCUGCCAGACCCUGCUGCUGUGCUGUGAUAUGGACACAGAGGCAAAGACUUCUCUUACCCAGCUUGGCUGUUCUUGGGUGCCUCAAUCUCAGUUGUGUCCAGAAUCUCACCUGGACUUUUGUUCAAGCUGCUCCUUUGGUUUUUAAUCCCAACCCCUCCCCCUACAGGAGGUCUAAUCUAGUCUGUCA